UACGUAGGUGGCAAGCGUUGUCCGGAAUUAUUGGGCGUAAAGCGCGCGCAGGCGGUCCUUUAAGUCUGAUGUGAAAGCCCACGGCUCAACCGUGGAGGGUCAUUGGAAACUGGGGGACUUGAGUACAGAAGAGAAGAGUGGAAUUCCACGUGUAGCGGUGAAAUGCGUAGAGAUGUGGAGGAACACCAGUGGCGAAGGCGACUCUUUGGUCCGUAACUGACGCUGAGGCGCGAAAGCGUGGGGAGCAAACAGG
rnacentral:rRNA from 1 species